rnacentral:rRNA from 1 species
GAGCGAAUCUCAAAAAGAAUAGUCUCAGUUCGGACUGUGGGCUGCAACCCGCCCACACGAAGUUGGAGUUGCUAGUAAUCCCGAAUCAGCAUGUCGGGGUGAAUGCGUUCCCGGGUCUUGUACACACCGCCCGUCAAGCCAUGGGAGUUGGGAGUGCCCGAAGUCGGUGACCUAACCGUAAGGAAGGAGCCGCCUAAGGUAAUACCAAUGACUGGGGUUAAGUCGUAACAAGGUAAC